rnacentral:tRNA from 1 species
UAGCUCAGUUGGUUAGAGCGCUACGUUGACAUCGUAGAGGUCAUUGGUUCGAAUCCAUUACCG